rnacentral:rRNA from 1 species
CUGUGCAAAGGUAGCAUAAUCAUUAGUUUUUUAAUUGAAAGCUGGAAUGAAUGGUUUAAUAAGAAAAAUUCUGUCUCAUUUUUAAGUUUAAAAUUUUAUUUUUAAGUUAAAAAGCUUAAAUUUAUUAAAAAGACCAGAAGACCCUUUAGAGUUUUAUAAGAAAAAAUUGAUUAUUAUUUAGAUUUAAAUUUAAAAUUGGUUUUUAUUAUUUUAUUGGGGUGAUUUAAAAAUUUAAGUAACUUUUUAUUUAUUUUAUCAUUAAUUUAUGUAUAAAUGAUCUUGAUUUUUGGAUUAUAAGAAUAAUUACCUUAGGGAUAACAGCGUAAUUUUUUUUGAGAGUUCUUAUCGAAAAAGAAGUUUGCGACCUCGAUGUUGGAUUAAAAUUAAAUUUUGGCGUAGAAGUUAAAAAUUUAGGUCUGUUCGACCUUUAAAAUU